CUGAACCCAUUCCGAACUCAGAAGUGAAACGAAAUAGCGUCGAUGGUAGUGUGGGGUUUCCCCAUGUGAGAGUAGAACAUCGCCAGGC
rnacentral:rRNA from 1 species